rnacentral:rRNA from 1 species
CAAUGGGCGCAAGCCUGAUGCAGCAACGCCGCGUGAGGGACGAAGGCCUUCGGGUUGUAAACCUCUUUUAGCAGGGAAGAAGCGAAAGUGACGGUACCUGCAGAAAAAGCACCGGCUAACUACGUGCCAGCAGCCGCGGUAAUACGUAGGGUGCAAGCGUUGUCCGGAAUUAUUGGGCGUAAAGAGCUCGUAGGCGGUUUGUCGCGUCUGCUGUGAAAACUGGAAGCUCAACUUCCAGCCUGCAGUGGGUACGGGCAGACUAGAGUGCGGUAGGGGAGAACGGAAUUCCUGGUGUAGCGGUGGAAUGCGCAGAUAUCAGGAGGAACACCGAUGGCGAAGGCAGUUCUCUGGGCCGUUACUGACGCUGAGGAGCGAAAGCGUGGGGAGCGAACAGGAUUAGAUACCCUGGUAGUCCACGCCGUAAACGGUGGGUGCUAGCUGUGGGCCACAUUCCACGUGGUCCGUGACGAAGUUAACACAUUAAGCACCCCGCCUGGGGAGUACGGCCGCAAGGCUAAAACUCAAAGGAAUUGACGGGGGCCCGCACAAGCGGCGGAGCAUGCGGAUUAAUUCGAUGCAACGCGAAGAACCUUACCAAGGCUUGACAUAUAGAGGAAAAGUGCAGAAAUGUACUCCCCGUAAGGUCUCUAUACAGGUGGUGCAUGGUUGUCGUCAGCUCGUGUCGUGAGAUGUUGGGUUAAGUCCCGCAACGAGCGCAACCCUCGUCCUAUGUUGCCAGCACGUAAUGGUGGGAACUCAUGGGAUACUGCCGGGGUCAACUCGGAG